UACCAACAUAGUAUAUUCUCACAGUUUUUCCUCAAGUGGGAUAUUAAUGAGGGCCUGGAGGACUCGCUGAACCUGAGGCAACACGUGGACGACUGAGAGUGGUGAACUCUGUAAUGUGCCUUUGCUGUAUUACUUAAGAUCAUCCAGUUCUGCUCAAAAAGUAAGUGAAACAAAAAAGAGGAUAAAGGACACUGGGUGGAGAUACAAGUAGCUUGUGAGACAUAGGCAGAAUUUACAUGAGCAUGGUAAAACUAAGUGGAUUAGUAACCCCUGAGUCAUAGUAGCCAUCGACAAAGUAGAGAAUGUGCAUGCUGAACACAGAUAGUAGGGAGGAAUGGAAAGAGGUGAUAUUCACAACACAUCCAUAUGCAUAUGACACCAAACAUUUGAAAUAUACUAAAUAUGAAUACAUAAAAUAUAAGAACUUGAAUGAAGUCUUCAAUCAUCUACCCACUGGUGACCCCCAUUCUAGCCACAGAAAUCCUCUGUACAAGGAAUGCAAAUAGUCCUUAGCUGUGCAUCAGGCCAAAUGAUGAGCUAUACGUCAUGGCCAGGUGGGCUUGUCCCUGGGUCUUUCCAAGUGUACUACUGACCUUGGCAUCUUUUCCCUGCUGAGUCCCUUGCUGAAACCUCAGAUCUGACUUACGUAAUCACACCAUAGGGAAGGUCAGUGUGGUAGACAGAGAGAACAGGUCACAUGAGCACUGUGUGUCUCAGGAUUUGAGUAGCUGGGUUCUUUCUCCUGCUUGAAUUCUAUUGUAAUUGUUUUAACUGUUCCUAUCUCUUUCCCUCUUUCUUCUCAUAAUGUGUUUUAAUUGAUUUGAUAAACCACAUGACUCAUGCAUCUUAAUUUGUUGUGUUAGUCUUUCUUCUUUGAGACCUCUAGGAUAACCUGGUAGUAGACUUGGAGACUGCAGUUGCAUCAAGGUAAUUUCCUGCAUAAAAAAUUUACAGUAGUACUAUGCAAACCAGUAACAAUAACAAAAAUGGUAGCUCUAAAUUUCAAGUAGUUACUAGGCAACAUCUUAAGCAUUUUGUAUAUAUUAUCUCAAAUAAUCCUUGCAAUAACCCUAUAGAGCAGAUAUUAUUAUCUGCAUUCUACAGAUAAGAAAACCAAGGACAAGAGAAGUUCAUUAACUUGCCUAAGAUCAAUUAGCUAGUAACAGAAAGAGGAUUUCAAUUAAGGUCUGACUCUUAAAGCCAUACCAUUUCUAUUUUGGAGGCGGCCAAACUACUUCCAAGCCCCCUCCCUACUGCCCACCAUUUCCUCCUGUUAGACCUUCUUUGGUCAUCCUAUCUAAAAUCUACCCUCCAUAACUUCCUAGCCCCCUCCCAGGAUUAAUUUGUUUUUCCAUUCUAUUAUCACCAUCUAAUGUAACUUUCUUACUAACUUAUUGUCUGUCUUCCCAAUAAGAAUGUGAUUUUUUAUAAGGGUAGGAUUUUUGUUUAAUUAUUAACUUCUGCUUCUCCAAGUACCCAGAACAGUGCUUGAAUGGUAAGUAUUAAGUGAAUAUCAACUGAGUGAAUGAGUUAAUCCUAUUGUUGAGUUUUUUUUUCUAGAGCCAUCUUUGAAAAUAAAGUCAUAGGCACAAGAUUACCUUUCAGGAUGAAUAGAUUCACCCUGGAAAUUUUAUUAUUAAAUCAGCUUAAGGAAAAUAAAGAGUUUCAGAGCAAAAUUUUAGGGAAAAAAAUGGGCUAUAAGAAAAUUACACUGCCAGCUCCAUGGCUUGAAUCUUACAUGACUUCACCACAGAACCUGUUCAGCCCUGCAGUUUGGCUACCUCCGUUAAUUUUCAUCAUAUUAUAAUUUCAGGGCCUUGGACUUCUCCCACGGUUACCUCAGAAGAGAUCCAGAGAAAGGGGAGUUUUAUAUGUACAUGCCUUAUCUACGGCAUUCCAGAAAUGGGGCUUACGUUUGCCCCAGCUGUAAGUGAGGUGCUGUAACCACACUGUUAACUCAUUCAAAUGCUUCUUUAUGUGUUUUCUCUGUUUUCAGAUAAGGACAGUGAGCCUCUGUAAGGAUAGUAGCUUGCCCCAAGUGUACAGUCUGACAGGUAGCAAAGCCAGAAUUUGAAAUUGUGUCUGUCUAAUCCCCAGUCCACUCCACAGAAAUAUUGUUCCCAUGAGGAAGCCCACCAUGAACAGAAACAUGAGAUUAUUUCUAAACAGAUGAACUGGAGAUGGAAAGAACUGAAGUGAACCCAACUGUCCCCUAUUGUUAUUUUUUAGGAUGGAUGAAAUAAAUUUGUCUUUUUAUAACACAGUUUUUAUUGGUGUGUAAAGGAUAAAACAUCAGCUAAAUAGGCCUAAAGUAUCAGGAAAAUUUUUGGUGAAUUUACAGUUAAAAUGGAAACAAAACUACUUUUUAAAAUUGAAACUCUUUUUUUUUUUUUUUUUUUGGCACGAGCUUGGCCGGGGCUUGGUCCUCUUCUUUUAUAUUAAAAUAAUUUUUUCCAAAUUAAUUUCUUGAAAACUCAGCUGUCCCAGCCUUUCAAGCCAGGAGGUUAAAUUGAUCUGAUGUACACCAGAGGUCCGUGGGAACGUCCUGGCUAGGGUAAUCAGUGAAAUGCAUUAAAUAAUCUUAAUUGAUAUAGUAAUACUCAGGGGCAAAGAAUUGUCCCUUCAUUCAUUUCUGCUCAUUUAGAUAUAAAUCAGAUUUCUAAAAAGAGAUGCAGCAUCUGGAUGCUACUGCGAUUGCAGAUGAGAAACAGCAUGUAAGUGUCCUGGGGCUGUUUGGCAACAACCUGUCAACAUCACCUUGAAAUAUGUUGAACCAGGUACCAGAAUGUUUAUACAUAUUAGAAAACCAAGAUAGAUUUUCAAGUAGAAGAAAAUGAAGUUGGAGCUAUUUAACUUUAGAGCUUUAUUCAUUCAAUCACUCAAAUACUUGUUCAGUCACCCAUCCAUCCAUCCAUCUAAUAUUAUAAUACCAUAUGAUCUCUUCUCAUAGUUAUCUCUGAGAAGAGAUCCAGAAAAAGGGGAGUUUUAUAUGUACAUACCUUAUCUAGGACAUUCUAAAAAUGGGGCUUACGUUUGAAAUAUUACUGAGCAUCUACUGUGUGCCUGCAGCUCUGUUAGACUGGGAAUAUAGUUUAAAGCCUGUGUGAUCAAGUACAGUAGCUACUAGCCACAUGUGGCUAUUGAGGACUUGAAAUGUGGCUGAUCCUAAUUAAAACUGUCUAUUGAGCAGUUGAAAUGUGUUGCUCCGAAUUAGGGUACACACAACUGAUUUCAAAGAGUUAGUAGGGAAAAAAAUAAUGUAAUAUAUACCAUUCGUAACUUUUGGAUACUAAUGGAUUGCGUUGAAGUGACAAUUUUUUGAUAUAUCACAUUAAAUAAAAUAUAAUAAAUAACCUCA